rnacentral:rRNA from 1 species
CCCUUAGAUGUUCUGGGCCGCACGCGCGCUACACUGAUCGGUGCAACAAGCAUCCGUCCUUGGCCGACAGGCCCGGGCAAUCUUUGAACGCCGGUCGUGAUGGGGAUAGACCUUUGCAAUUUUUGGUCUUCAACGAGGAAUUCCUAGUAAACGCAAGUCAUCAGCUUGCAUUGAUUACGUCCCUGCCCUUUGUACACACCGCCCGUCGCACCUACCGAUUGAAUGGUCCGGUGAAAUCUCCGGACUGGCGUGAGUCGGAGCAAUCUGACAAACGCCGGAAAGUUGAUUAAACCUUACCAUUUAGAGGAAGGUGAAGUCGUAACA